rnacentral:tRNA from 1 species
GGCCGGCUGGCGCAAUGGUAGCGCUUCAGACUUCUACUCUCUCUUCCCGAGAUGUGGUUAUCUGGAGGUUGUGGGUUCGAGCCCCACGUUGGUCA